ensembl:misc_RNA RN7SL471P RNA, 7SL, cytoplasmic 471, pseudogene
GCCGGACGCGGUGGCGCGCGCCUGUAAUCCCAGCUCCCCGGGAGGCUGAGGUCGGCGGAUCGUGGGUGCUCGGGGGUUCGGAGCUACGGCGCUGUGUGGAGCGGGCGUCCGCACCGGGCCUGGCACCAACAUGGUACUCCCGGGGGAGCCCGGGAGUACCAGGUUGUCUAAGGAGGGGGGGACCAGGCCCAGGCCGGACACGGAGCAGGUCAAACUCCCCGUGUUGGGCGACGGUGGGACCGCGCCUGCGAGCAACGCCUGCAGUUCCGCCCGGGACAUCCGACGAGACCCGGUCUCUU